UAUAUAUACCUUUCAAGUCAGUUCCAGGAUGUCUCCAUAUCUGAAAAGUAACAGCAGUUAAUUUAGAAUGUCUGCCAAAUCUGAGGCUUUUAUCACAGAACGCAAUU